rnacentral:rRNA from 1 species
GACGAACGCUGGCGGCGUGCUUAACACAUGCAAGUCGAACGAAGAGCGAUGGAAGCUUGCUUCUCUCAAUCUUAGUGGCGAACGGGUGAGUAACGCGUAAUCAACCUGCCCUUCAGAGGGGGACAACAGUUGGAAACGACUGCUAAUACCGCAUACGAUCUAAUCUCGGCAUCGAGGAUAGAUGAAAGGUGGCCUCUACAUGUAAGCUAUCACUGAAGGAGGGGAUUGCGUCUGAUUAGCUAGUUGGAGGGGUAACGGCCCACCAAGGCGAUGAUCAGUAGCCGGUCUGAGAGGAGGAACGGCCACAUUGGGACUGAGACACGGCCCAGACUCCUACGGGAGGCAGCAGUGGGGAAUCUUCCGCAAUGGACGAAAGUCUGACGGAGCAACGCCGCGUGAGCGAUGACGGCCUUCGGGUUGUAAAGCUCUGUUAAUCGGGACGAAAGGCCUUCUUGCGAAUAGUGAGAAGGAUUGACGGUACCGGAAUAGAAAGCCACGGCUAACUACGUG